rnacentral:rRNA from 1 species
UACGUAGGGUGCGAGCGUUGUCCGGAAUCACUGGGCGUAAAGGGCGCGUAGGUGGCCUGUGGAAGUCUGCGGUGAAAGCCCGGCGCUCAACGCCGGGUCGGCCGUGGAUACUCUCGGGCUUGAGCUUACUAGAGGCAGAUGGAAUUCCGGGUGUAGCGGUGGAAUGCGUAGAGAUGUGGAGGAAUACCGAUGGCGAAGGCAGCCCCCUGGGAUAACACUGACGCUCAUGCACGAAAGCGUGGGGAGCAAACAGG